AGGGUUUUGAUGGGCCUUGGUAUCGCUAUUUCUUCAGAUUUGUCUUGCUUUUCUCCUACAUUAUCCCACUAAGGUAGGCUUAUAUAGUUGUGAACUCUUCCAAAGCCAAAAGACCAAACACAACUGUGUGUUUCUCAAUCAGUAACAAUUUGUUUUGUGUCAUUUUCCGAUAUUUAGCUUGCGUGUAAGUCUUGACAUGGGGAAAGUAGUGUAUUCGUGGAUGAUAACACGUGACUCAGAGAUGCCUGGCACGGUGGUGCGCAGUAGUACAAUACCAGAAGAACUGGGGAGAGUGGCCUAUCUACUGACCGAUAAAACUGGAACGCUUACUCAAAAUGAAAUGGUAUGUUGUAGUUCUUUUUAAUAGUUUACAUCGGAUUUCAAUAUUACGCG